AUAGAUUAAGCCAUGCAAGUGUUAGUUCAGGUAACGAAACUGCGAAUAGCUCAUUAAUACGCUCAGAAUCUAUUUGGCGGCGACCAACAGGUCUUAAAUGGAUAGCAGCAGCAACUCUGGUGCUAAUACAUGCGAUUGUUUCUCCAGAUGUGAAUUAUGGAGGAAAAGUUGACCUCAUCAGAGGCACGCCAUUCGACUGAGUGACCUAUCAGCUUGUACUUAGGGUCUUUACCUAGGUAGGCUAUCACGGGUAACGGGCGGUUACCGUCGGACUGCCGGAGAAGGCGCCUGAGAGAUAGCGACUAUAUCCACGGGUAGCAGCAGGCGCGAAACUUUCCCACUCGAGACUUUCGGAGGAGGUAAUGACCAGUUCCAUUGGUGCCUUUUGGUACUGUGGAUAGGGGUACGGUUUUCCACCGUACCGAAACCUAGCAGAGGGCCAGUCUGGUGCCAGCAGCUGCGGUAAUUCCAGCUCUGCGAGUUUGCUCCCAUAUUGUUGCAGUUAAAACGCCCGUAGUCUGAAUUGGCCAGCAAUGGUCGUACGUAUUUUUACGUUCACUGUGAACAAAUCAGGACGCUUAGAGUAUGGCCACAUGAAUGACUCAGCGCAGUAUGAAGUCUUUGUUUUCUUCCGAAAACAAGCUCAAUGAGAGCCAUCGGGGGUAGAUCUAUCUCAUGACGAGUGGUGGAAUACUUUGACUCAUGAGAGAGAAGCUGAGGCGAAGGCGUCUACCUAGAGGGUUUCUGUCGAUCAAGGGCGAGAGUAGGAGUAUCCAACAGGAUUAGAGACCCUGGUAGUUCCUACCUUAAACGAUGCCGACAGGAGUUUGUCAUUUGUUAAUGGCAGAAUCUUUGGAGAAAUCAUAGUUCUUGGGCUCUGGGGGAACUACGACCGCAAGGCUGAAACUUUGAAGGAAUUGACGGAAGGGCACACCAAGGGGUGGAGCCUGUGGCUUAAUUU
rnacentral:ncRNA from 2 species